rnacentral:rRNA from 1 species
UGGGGAAUAUUGCACAAUGGGGGAAACCCUGAUGCAGCGACGCCGCGUGAACGAAGAAGGUAUUCGUAUCGCAAAGUUCUGUCCUAUGGGAAGAUAAUGACAGUACCAUAGAAGAAAGCUCCGGCUAAAUACGUGCCAGCAGCCGCGGUAAUACGUAUGGAGCGAGCGUUGUCCGGAAUUAUUGGGCGUAAAGGGUACGCAGGCGGUUUAAUAAGUCGAAUGUUAAAGAUCGGGGCUCAACCCCGCAAAGCAUUGGAAACUGAUAAACUUGAGUAGUGGAGAGGAAAGUGGAAUUCCUAGUGUAGUGGUGAAAUACGUAGAUAUUAGGAGGAAUACCAGUAGCGAAGGCGACUUUCUGGACACAAACUGACGCUGAGGUACGAAAGCGUGGGGAGCAAACAGG